rnacentral:rRNA from 1 species
GUGUGUGUGUAAAUCCUGGGAAAUCCUCGUAUUGCACCCCAAUUUUAUUUAUAGGGCGAGAAUAGUACUAGGAUGGGUGACCUCCUGGGAAGUCCUCGUGUUGCACCCC